UAGGGAAUCUUCCGCAAUGGGCGAAAGCUUGACGGAGCAACGCCGCGUGAGUGAUGAAGGUCUUCGGAUCGUAAAACUCUGUUAUUAGGGAAGAACAAAUGUGUAAGUAACUAUGCACGUCUUGACGGUACCUAAUCAGAAAGCCACGGCUAACUACGUGCCAGCAGCCGCGGUAAUACGUAGGUGGCAAGCGUUAUCCGGAAUUAUUGGGCGUAAUGCGCGCGUAGGCGGUUUUUUAAGUCUGAUGUGAAAGCCCACGGCUCAACCGUGGAGGGUCAUUGGAAACUGGAAAACUUGAGUGCAGAAGAGGAAAGUGGAAUUCCAUGUGUAGCGGUGAAAUGCGCAGAGAUAUGGAGGAACACCAGUGGCGAAGGCGACUUUCUGGUCUGUAACUGACGCUGAUGUGCGAAAGCGUGGGGAUCAAACAGG
rnacentral:rRNA from 1 species